rnacentral:rRNA from 1 species
UACGUAGGGUGCAAGCGUUGUCCGGAAUUAUUGGGCGUAAAGAGCUCGUAGGCGGUUUGUCGCGUCGGCUGUGAAAGCCCGGGGCUCAACCCCCGGAAGUGCAUUCGAUACUACGUAGCUGGAGUCUUGAAGAGGAGAGCGGAAUUCCCCGGUGUAGAGGUGAAAAUUCGUAGAUAUCGGGAGGAACACCUGUGGCGAAAAGCGGCUCA